GGCCGUGCAGUUGCCAGGCUGCUGUUGAAGGGAACUCAGGGCCACAUUGCGUGACCGUGUGCUUGAUUUUAGGGGAAACCCUGUGGAACCAUAGCAGCAGCUUCAGCAGGAAUGCAUCCAUCCUGAGCCCUCUGCUGCAGGUGCCUGAUGUAGACAGCGAUGGGGCCCCAGACCUGCUGAUUUUCACCCAGGAGCAGGAGGAGGUACAGCCAAGCCUGGCUCUCCUCCCAAGUCACCAAGGCCACCUGCCACACGGCCCUCCUCUGCCUCCCCAUCUGCUGCCACUUACCAGACAGGAUUUGGGUCUGACCACUUGUUGGGGACUCUCCCAGAGCCCCACGUUCCCAACUCCCAUAGACCCAGCAUAUGGAGGGGGCUCCACCUGUACCAGGUAGCUCUGGGGCCUCCCCAAGAACAAUGGAGCACACACUUCCCACUUGUGCUGUUACAGUGUUGGGGGUGAAGCUCUGAGGGCUGGGAGCGUCUGCGAGCACUGAGGCUGCCUCCUGUGCCCCACACUUGGAGGCACUGACCAGUGUCAGACUCUCUGAUGUCAGCACCCCUUUCCUCAAACCCAAGAGCCUGUGGGCCCCUUACCCUUCCAUGUCUCCUGUGGUAGAGUGCCCCGCCCCCAGGCUCAGGUCCCUCUCUUCCUAGGGCUCUGUGUCAUUGCAGGUUAGUGGCCACCUCUACUCAGGCAGCACCGGGCACCAGAUUGGCCUCAGAGGCAGCCUUGGUGUGGACGGAGAAAGUGGCUUCCUCCUUCACGUCACCAGGACGGGUGCCCACUAUAUCCUCUUUCCCUGCGCAAGCUCCCUCUGCGGCUGCUCUGUGAAGGGUCUCUACGAGAAGGUGACCGGGAGGGACGGCCCAUUCAAGAAUGACCCGCACUGGGAGAGCAUGCUCAAUGCCACCACCCGCAGGAUGCUGUCCCACAGCUCGGGAGCAGUGCGCUACCUGAUGCAUGUCCCGGGGAACACCGGCGCAGAUGUGCUCCUUGUGGGCUCAGAGGGCUUCGUGCUGCUGGACGGGCAGGAGCUGACACCCCGCUGGACGCCCAAGGCAGCCCAUGUCCUGAGAAAACCCAUCUUCGGCCACUAUAAACCAGACACCUUGGCUGUAGUCGUUGAAAACGGAACUGGUACCAACAGACAGAUCCUGUUCCUGGACUUUGGCACUGGAACUGUCCUGUGUAGCCUAGCCCUCCCGAGCCUCCCUGGGGGUCCACUGUCCGCCAGCCUGCCGACCGCAGACCACCGCUCAGCCUUCUUCUUCUGGGGCCUCCACGAGCUGGGCAGCACCAGUGAGACGGAGAUGGGGGAGGCCCGGCAUAGCCUGUACAUGUUCCACCCCACCCUGCCCCGUGUGCUGCUGGAGCUGGCCAAUGUCUCUACCCACAUUGUCGCCUUCGAUGCUGUCCUGUUUGAGCCAAGCCGCCACGCUGCCUACAUCCUCCUGACAGGCCCAGCAGACUCAGAGGCACCCGGACUGGUCUCUGUGAUCAAGCACAAGGUGCGGGACCUCGUCCCAAGCAGCAGGGUGGUCCACCUGGGUGAGGGUGAGCCAGACAGUGAUCAGGCCAUCAGGGACCGGUUCUCCCAGCUGCGGUACCGGAGGGAGGCGUAGAGGCACGCCAGCCAGAGCCUGUGGGAGAGACUCCGCCUGCUGACACUAAACGUCCUGGGAAGUGGGCCCCUUCCUGGGUCUCUGCACUGACUCCCCCACUCCUGACCCUGGUGAUGGUUGCCACUGGGCAGCAGCGGCCUUACCAGUCCUCCGUGAUUGCACCCAGGGACGUGCAUGGGUGAGGGGACACCCUGGGCCUCUCUCCCGCCCAGCGUCCUCCCUGAGUCCCCACACAGGGCCCCACUCUGCACCUCACCAGGGUCCCGCUCACACCAGGCAGCCUUCAUAGUGGUCUCCCUGGGCCACCUUGGGCAGAACUGGGUCAUGCAGCACCCCAUCCUUACCCAGUGCCCUCUCCUUGCCAGCUUCUCCC
ensembl:lincRNA